rnacentral:tRNA from 2 species
AGCAUCGUGGACGAGCAGAGAAGUCGCCGUGCCUCUCAAGCAUGGAGAAGCGGGUGCAACUCCCGUCGAUGCUUCCA